ACUCAAAAGAUUUUUUUCUCUCUUUUUAAUGUAAAAAACUCCAACCUGUCCAACAAAAUAGAACUUAUCACCUCUAGUUAAUUUUGUGAAAUAUAUUCAGUUAUUCUUUGGAUUAUACAUUCCAUCUUCUUAAAAAUAUGAACCAAUCAAUUAUAUUAGCCAUACGGCUUGAUUAUAACAGCUAAUUUCCAUUUCAUAAAGUAAUUGUUGUUUAAAUACUGAUAAUUUAUUAGUCAAGGUGUUUAGGAAAGUUCUCUCUAGUUCUAUCUUUUAAAUAAUUAUUGAAAUGACUACAAAAAUUCAAAGUCAUUAGACUAUUAGUUUUCAUGGUUUUAGAUUCUGUGGCUCCUCAGCAUUAAAUAUCUACAAGGAGAACAUUUUGCAUGCUCUGCAGUCCUGGAACUCACAGCAUGGACUAUCCAGAGCAGCUUGGUGUUAUUUGCUAGGCACAGGAUUUCAACAGCAAUAAUUUGAUGUAAUGGGAAGGAGCUCACAGGGCUAGUCAGUUGUGUUGGACGUGAGAGCUGGCUAGGAAGGCUGUGCAGUCACACAUUACUGCAAACAAAACAUGUCACCCUUCAGUGAUCUUAAUGCUUUGUCCAUUAAAUGUACUCCCUCAUGUAAAUGGCAGUGUAUUUAACUGGUAAACAGAUGUUCACCACUAUAAUCUCAGAAUUAGAAAGCUGUGGUUUAUGGUUUGCAGUAAGCUCUAGGUUUCUUACUUCACUGAGUAUUUUCCAGAGUCAUUUCUCUUCCCCCCUCCCCGUCCCUUGCCAUCCAUCUGAGUUUUGGUUCUAUUAUGACCUUAAUCUUGGUUUAGGCAGCAAAUCCUCUUGACACUGUAUUACACACCUUAUGGGCCUCAACAAAUAUUCACGUAAAAAGAUGUAGAAAUAACACUAAAACAUGCUAUAUUUAAGGUAAUUUGGACUUAAUGCAGUCUGACUUUAACUGAGGGUAUUGUUUUAGUGAACUGCUCUGCAUAUCUCUUAGUUUAAAAGAUACCCACCAUGUCAGGUUGUUUCCUAGAAGGUGAACCUUAAUUGCCAGAUGGAUAUAGCUAGCCUAUUAAUAGGCAAAAAGAUUUAAGUCAAUUGAGGAAACGGAAUGUGGUAUCUUUUUGUAACCUAGCAUACUCUCGAUUAACUAGAAUUUAAAAUAUUUUAUAUUAAGGUCAUACAUUUCCCUGUUAUCAUUUAUCACCUGUUUUUAUUGAUUAUAUUUUCUGAUAAAGACAUCCCAUUCAGGUAGGCUAAAGGAAAGUAUUUGUUAAGAGCUUGAGUAGGUUUUGCAAAAUUCUAGCACCUAAGAAGGGGUGUUUAUCUUUAAGAGCCUCCAUCGUUAUUCCUUGUUUAUUAAACCACAGAUGGGAGGACUGGCUUAGCAUUAAGUCUCUGUCAUCAGAAUGAUGAACUUACUGCCACCUUAUCAAAACUAAGAUCCCUUUCCCAAAGGUCUGCCAAAUGUGGUAUGAUAGUAAAAAGUAAUUAAGUAAUUAACUAGAUAAUGGCUAACAGUGCCUUGUGACAGUAAGUGCUCAGUAGUUAUUUGUGGAUGGGUAGAUCUUUCAUGUUCCCAUAUUAUUAUUAUUUCUUUAAUAAACAUCAUUGAAAUGUGACAUAAUAAGAAAAAGUAUACAAAUCUUAAGUAGACAGCUUGAUGGAUUCUCACUAAAUACAUACAUCCUUGUAACCACCAUGCAGAUCAAUAUAUAGAACACUACCACCAUCCUAGAAUCUUCCUUUGUGCCCACUGCCAGUUAUUACCUCCCAAAGGUGACGACAUACUGACUUCUAACAUGACAGAUUAAUUUUUAAACUUUGUAUAAAUUGAAUCAUAGUAAUAUGUACUCUUUACUGACUGGCUUCUUUCCCUCGACAUUAUGUUUUUGAUAUUAUUUC
rnacentral:lncRNA from 10 species